rnacentral:rRNA from 1 species
UACGUAGGAGGCGAGCGUUGUCCGGAUUUACUGGGCGUAAAGCGCGCGCAGGCGGCAGUGCAAGUAAGGUGUGAAAUCUCCCUGCUCAACGGGGAGGGUGCACUUUAAACUGCACAGCUCGAGGUCGGUAGAGGGGGGUGGAAUUGCUGGUGUAGCGGUGAAAUGCGUAGAGAUCAGCAGGAACACCCGUGGCGAAGGCGGCCCCCUGGGCCGUACCUGACGCUGAGGCGCGAAGGCUAGGGGAGCGAACGGG